rnacentral:rRNA from 1 species
AGAGUUUGAUCCUGGCUCAGGAUGAACGCUGGCGGCGUGCCUAAUACAUGCAAGUCGAGCGAACGGACGAGAAGCUUGCUUUUCUGAUGUUAGCGGCGGACGGGUGAGUAACACGUGGAUAACCUACCUAUAAGACUGGGAUAACUUCGGGAAACCGGAGCUAAUACCGGAUAAUAUUUUGAACCGCAUGGUUCAAAAGUGAAAGACGGUCUUGCUGUCACUUAUAGAUGGAUCCGCGCUGCAUUAGCUAGUUGGUAAGGUAACGGCUUACCAAGGCAACGAUGCAUAGCCGACCUGAGAGGGUGAUCGGCCACACUGGAACUGAGACACGGUCCAGACUCCUACGGGAGGCAGCAGUAGGGAAUCUUCCGCAAUGGGCGAAAGCCUGACGGAGCAACGCCGCGUGAGUGAUGAAGGUCUUCGGAUCGUAAAACUCUGUUAUUAGGGAAGAACAUAUGUGUAAGUAACUGUGCACAUCUUGACGGUACCUAAUCAGAAAGCCACGGCUAACUACGUGCCAGCAGCCGCGGUAAUACGUAGGUGGCAAGCGUUAUCCGGAAUUAUUGGGCGUAAAGCGCGCGUAGGCGGUUUUUUAAGUCUGAUGUGAAAGCCCACGGCUCAACCGUGGAGGGUCAUUGGAAACUGGAAAACUUGAGUGCAGAAGAGGAAAGUGGAAUUCCAUGUGUAGCGGUGAAAUGCGCAGAGAUAUGGAGGAACACCAGUGGCGAAGGCGACUUUCUGGUCUGUAACUGACGCUGAUGUGCGAAAGCGUGGGGAUCAAACAGGAUUAGAUACCCUGGUAGUCCACGCCGUAAACGAUGAGUGCUAAGUGUUAGGGGGUUUCCGCCCCUUAGUGCUGCAGCUAACGCAUUAAGCACUCCGCCUGGGGAGUACGACCGCAAGGUUGAAACUCAAAGGAAUUGACGGGGACCCGCACAAGCGGUGGAGCAUGUGGUUUAAUUCGAAGCAACGCGAAGAACCUUACCAAAUCUUGACAUCCUUUGACAACUCUAGAGAUAGAGCCUUCCCCUUCGGGGGACAAAGUGACAGGUGGUGCAUGGUUGUCGUCAGCUCGUGUCGUGAGAUGUUGGGUUAAGUCCCGCAACGAGCGCAACCCUUAAGCUUAGUUGCCAUCAUUAAGUUGGGCACUCUAAGUUGACUGCCGGUGACAAACCGGAGGAAGGUGGGGAUGACGUCAAAUCAUCAUGCCCCUUAUGAUUUGGGCUACACACGUGCUACAAUGGACAAUACAAAGGGCAGCGAAACCGCGAGGUCAAGCAAAUCCCAUAAAGUUGUUCUCAGUUCGGAUUGUAGUCUGCAACUCGACUACAUGAAGCUGGAAUCGCUAGUAAUCGUAGAUCAGCAUGCUACGGUGAAUACGUUCCCGGGUCUUGUACACACCGCCCGUCACACCACGAGAGUUUGUAACACCCGAAGCCGGUGGAGUAACCUUUUAGGAGCUAGCCGUCGAAGGUGGGACAAAUGAUUGGGGUGAAGUCGUAACAAGGUAGCCGUAUCGGAAGGUGCGGCUG